UUAAUUGAAACCAAAUUAGCGGUAUAUCACUGUUAAUGAUAUUAUUGAGUAACUCUCCGAUUAAG
rnacentral:tRNA from 1 species